rnacentral:tRNA from 2 species
GGGCUAUAGCUCAGCUGGGAGAGCGCCUGCUUUGCACGCAGGAGGUCUGCGGUUCGAUCCCGCAUAGCUCACCA